rnacentral:antisense_RNA from 1 species
GUCAAUGGCGGCUGUACGCGGGAGGCCUUCGGGCCUGCUGGGAUAGCUCGCACCCGGUUUACCACCCCGUGUACAGCUGCCACCCAU